rnacentral:tRNA from 1 species
ACCUGACUGGCUUAGUCAGUAGAGCACGCGAUUCUUGAUCUCUGGGUUGUGAGUUCUAGCCCCAUGUUGGGUA